GUGCCAGCAGCCGCGGUAAUACGGAGGGAGCUAGCGUUGUUCGGAAUUACUGGGCGUAAAGCGCACGUAGGCGGCUUUGCAAGUUAGAGGUGAAAGCCCGGGGCUCAACUCCGGAACUGCCUUUAAAACUGCAUCGCUUGAAUCCAGGAGAGGUGAGUGGAAUUCCGAGUGUAGAGGUGAAAUUCGUAGAUAUUCGGAAGAACACCAGUGGCGAAGGCGGCUCACUGGACUGGUAUUGACGCUGAGGUGCGAGAGCGUGGGGAGCAAACAGGAUUAGAUACCCGUGUAGUCC
rnacentral:rRNA from 1 species